rnacentral:lncRNA from 1 species
GUGAUAUAAACACGCUUAUUCUCUUCGUGCACCUUAAACCCUAAUUUAAAUAUCCUAUCAUUCUGGCCGUUUCACUUCGUUUCGCAAAGAAGAUAUCGAUCGUUCAUCCCCACAAACCCGAAUUUCAUCAACAAUCAUCAGGCAUGAGCAUAAUUUGGUGUAAAUCUUUGAUUCUUGCUUCCAAUUUAUGAUUCUCGAGGUAACAUAGUUGGAUUCACACCCAUCUCGCAAAUCCGGAUCGUAUCAUUUUUCUCAAACGUACAAGCUAACUUCUCUCAAACCCUAAAUCCGAAGACGCCAUUCAUCUUCAGCCGUUCAUCAUUGAUUCAAGUUUGAUAAACAAAGAUUUCAAGAUCAAUUCUACAAGGAAUAACACAUGUAAAGACAUUGCAACAUCCGUUACUAAGAAACCCUAAAGGGAGAGAAGCUAUAUUUGUAUAUCAAGAAUAUGUGUUGAUACGGAUUAGGCAGGGAGGAUUAGGAGGUGGUGUUGCCUCAGGGGUUUUGUUGAAAGGGGAUGACAAAAGAAGACGGUAAUGAUUUUGUUUUCUGUUCAUGUGAGGGUGGGGAAUUCUCAGAUCCGCCAUUUAUGGUGGUCUUUUCCCAGCUGGUGGUAUUGUUCAAAUUGUUGUGGUGGCUGGAGGUGGGGCUUGGUUGAAUAAGAGAUAGAUAAAGCACCGAUUACAGAGACCUUGAGCACAAGGGGUUGCACUCCUUGGUGGAUUCCGUUUGUCUUCUACACGCGGAUUCUUUUGAGUCUGGCCCGGUUUAAUUCGAUAAUCUUCGUUGUGACAGUGGGCUGUUCAGAUGGAGCAGCGGCGGUCGCCAAAAAGUGACACCCGACGAUUGAAUACGGAGCAACGUUUCAGGUGGUUUCUAGACCCUAUCGAGUUGUUAAAAGCUUUGGUGUGAUUUGGUGAUGAGAGGCCAUCACUCGUGUUCAAUUUAUAGGUAUUUAGGGGCUGUGUGGAUGGUUAAAAAGUCCUGAAAGGACAGCGGUAAUGGCUCUCAAAACUAGACAACAAAGUCACACUUUUAGGCGUGAUUUCGAGACAGCAUUGUGAGGUACAAUGCAGCAGUGAGUUGGGAUCUUUUGCAGUCGUUCGAGAGGUGCUUCACGGUCCGAAACUCUCUACAAACAACCACGACAAGUGUUGGUAAGGGCUGCCAAAACAGAUCGAGAACGUGAAGAAAACCAUGAUUGCGAUUUUCAUUUUUCCAUUCAGGUGUUGAACGAAAAAGUGGUUUUCUAAAAUAUAAGUUCUUCAGUAUGAUUUAGAUUUUGGUAAAGGUAAAGAAUACAUAUAUAUUUACAUAUAAUAAAUGACUAGGUUUCCAAGAACAUAAUCCGUUAGAAGUAAGAUUUCCUGUGCAAGUUUUAUGAUCAUUAGCUAAUUUUGGUUAACUAUACCAGUCUUAUAUUUUUUUUAUUAAUUGCUUAGGGGCGAAUAUGUUUCUGAACUUGAAGAGAGGAAUAAUGAGGUAACUCAGUUACGGGUAAAGGUUGAAAGCUUUACUAUGCAAGAGAAUACAUUGGAUGAAAGAAUGAGGCAGAAAAGGUCUGUUUAGUGGCGUCAUGGUUUAGACAUGGGUUGGAUGGAAUUACGUGGGGUAUGGUGCUGGAAAAGACAGGUAUUAACUCACGAUGAAGCUGUUGAACUGCAGAAAAUGAUGGUUGUUCUGCUGAAUGUAUGCAUGUCUUUAACUAAGGAUCGCUGUUAAUGGGGUCUUCACUCAUCAACCGAUUGAAUAUAAAAAAAAUUAAGUAGAGACGAUGAAUUCAUCAAGUGAAGUCUCUGAAUUUUGCUUGAUCUAUAUUAUCUCAUAUUUACAUUUGUUGUUGUAGUUUGAGUGAGAAUGUUGUGUGUAGAGAUUCUAAGUGAUAUUACAGAAUUAAACUCUCUUACUU